rnacentral:rRNA from 1 species
GUCCAGACUCCUACGGGAGGCAGCAGUGGGGAAUAUUGCACAAUGGGGGAAACCCUGAUGCAGCGACGCCGCGUGAGCGAUGAAGUAUUUCGGUAUGUAAAGCUCUAUCAGCAGGGAAGAAGAUGACGGUACCUGACUAAGAAGCCCCGGCUAACUACGUGCCAGCAGCCGCGGUAAUACGUAGGGGGCAAGCGUUAUCCGGAUUUACUGGGUGUAAAGGGAGCGUAGACGGCGAUGCAAGCCAGAUGUGAAAGCCCGGGGCUCAACCCCGGGACUGCAUUUGGAACUGUGUGGCUGGAGUGUCGGAGAGGCAGGCGGAAUUCCUAGUGUAGCGGUGAAAUGCGUAGAUAUCAGGAGGAACACCGGUGGCGAAGGCGGCCUGCUGGACUGCGACUGACGUUGAGGCCCGAAAGCGUGGGGAGCAAACAGGAUUAGAUACCCGUGUACAA